rnacentral:sRNA from 1 species
AUCUGGGUCGGACUUAUAAAGUGAAUAUGUGUAUCUAUUCCUCCGGCAGUAAGUAUCAGACCUUCACCGGCAAUAGCUUCCGUUCCGGCACCGAAAACAAGAGAAGGAGUAACUCCGUCCAUUAUAUCCGGAUUACCUGAUUUUCCUAUUCCGCAGAUUUUACCGUCCUUAAUGCCUAUAUCAGCCUUGUAAAUUCCGGUACUGUCGAUUACAAGAGCACUGGUUAUUACAGUAUCCGGACAUUCGGAAUCAGGCACGGAACAGGACUGUCCCAUUCCGUCACG